GGCGAUUGGGUGUACUAUCAGU
rnacentral:siRNA from 1 species